rnacentral:rRNA from 1 species
CCUACGGGUGGCAGCAGUGAGGAAUAUUGGUCAAUGGGCGCAAGCCUGAACCAGCCAAGUAGCGUGAAGGAUGACGGCCCUACGGGUUGUAAACUGCUUUUAUAAGGGAUUAAAGUGCGUUACGUGUGCUUUUUUGCAUGUACUUUAUGAAUAAGGACCGGCUAAUUCCGUGCCAGCAGCCGCGGUAAUACGGAGGGUCCGGGCGUUAUCCGGAUUUAUUGGGUUUAAAGGGAGCGUAGUAGGGUUGUCAAGUCUGUUGUGAAAGUUUCGGGCUCAACCGUGACAUUGCAAGGGAUACUGGCAGCCUUGAGUACGGGUGAGGUAGGCGGAAUUCGUGGUGUAGCGGUGAAAUGCUUAGAUAUCACGAAGAACCCCGAUUGCGAAGGCAGCUUGCUGAACUGCCACUGACAUUGAUGCUCGAAAGUGUGGGUAUCAAACAGGAUUAGAUACCCCUGUAGUC